rnacentral:rRNA from 1 species
UACGGGGGGGGCAAGCGUUGUUCGGAAUUACUGGGCGUAAAGGGCUCGUAGGCGGCCAACUAAGUCAGACGUGAAAUCCCUCGGCUUAACCGGGGAACUGCGUCUGAUACUGGAUGGCUUGAGUUUGGGAGAGGGAUGCGGAAUUCCAGGUGUAGCGGUGAAAUGCGUAGAUAUUGGGAGGAACACCGGUGGCGAAGGCGGCUACCUGGACCGGUACUGACGCUGAGGCGCGAAAGCUAGGGUAGCAAACAGG